GCUGAGUGUGGUGGUGCACACCUGUAAUCCCAGUGAUUCAGGAGGCUGAGGCAGGAGGAUUGAAAGUUGAAGGCCAGCCUCAGCAACUUAGCAGGACCCUGUCUCAA
rnacentral:sRNA from 1 species